UACGGAGGAUCCAAGCGUUAUCCGGAUUUAUUGGGUUUAAAGGGUGCGUAGGCGGAAUUGUAAGUCAGUGGUGAAAGCCCUUCGCUUAACGAAGGAACUGCCAUUGAUACUGCAAAUCUUGAGUACAUUUGAUGUGGGCGGAAUGUGUCAUGUAGCGGUGAAAUGCUUAGAUAUGACAUAGAACACCAAUUGCGAAGGCAGCUUACUUCACGAUCAUUGACACUGAGGCACGAAAGCGUGGGGAGCAAACAGG
rnacentral:rRNA from 1 species